GACGAACGCUGGCGGCGUGCUUAACACAUGCAAGUCGAACGGAAAGGCCUGCUUUCCCUUGUGGAUUGCGGGUACUCGCGUGGCGAACGGGUGAGUAACACGUGAGUUAUCUGCCCCCAACUUGGGUAUAAGCCUGGGAAACUGGGUCUAAUUCCCGAUAGGACUGCAGGGUGGUGCCUGUGGUGGAAAACGAUUUUCUAGUGGUUGGGGAUGAGCUCGCGGCCUAUCAGCUUGUUGGUGGGGUAAUGGCGUACCAAGGCGGCGACGGGUAGCCGGCCUGGGAGGGUGGACGGCCGCGUUGGGACUGAGAUACGGCGCAGGCGCCUACGGGAAGAAGCAGUGGGGAAUAAUGCACAAUGGGCGGAAGCCUGAGGCAGCGACGCCGAGGGAGGGAUGACGGGCUUCGGGUUGUAAACUCCUUUCGACCGCGAGGAAGCCACCUGGUUGGAAGGGUGGUGACGGUAGUGGUAGAAGAAGCACCGGCUAACUACGUG
rnacentral:rRNA from 1 species